UGCCGAGUAUGAUCGGAAACGCGCCGAAAUGGCCUUGCCAAGGUUGGGGUCGAGGGUUCGAAUCCCUUCGCCCGCUCCA
rnacentral:tRNA from 1 species